AUUGAACGCUGGCGGAAUGCUUAACACAUGCAAGUCGAGCGGGGUGUAGCAAUACACCUAGCGGCGGACGGGUGAGGAAUACAUAGGAAUCUGCCUCAGAGCGGGGGACAGCCCGGGGAAACCCGGAUUAAUACCGCAUGAUGUCGCAAGACCAAAGUGGGGGACCGCAAGGCCCCACACUCUGAGAUGAGCCUAUGUCCGAUUAGCUAGUUGGCGGGGUAAUAGCCCACCAAGGCGACGAUCGGUAGCUGGUCUGAGAGGACGAUCAGCCACACCGGAACUGAGACACGGUCCGGACUCCUACGGGAGGCAGCAGUGGGGAAUAUUGGACAAUGGGCGCAAGCCUGAUCCAGCAAUUCCGCGUGGGUGAAGAAGGCCU
rnacentral:rRNA from 1 species